UUUUUAGCAUUUGAUUGAGGUCAGAGGCUGCUAUAAAAACUUAAUUUUUUCAUAGGUGUUACAAAUCUAUUCAUUGAUGUAUAAAAGCACACUUUUCUAAUUCAGGUCAGAUUUGAGAUUAGCAGGUAGCUCAUACAGCUUCAUGUCCUUCAGUUUUGGGAAUAUCUGCCCCACACAGGAAUGCAGCAAU
rfam:Rattus norvegicus clone RP31-40H10 strain Brown Norway, complete sequence.